UGGUGGGCAGUUUGACUGGGGCGGUCUCCUCCUAAAGAGUAACGGAGGAGUACGAAGGUGCGCUCAGACCGGUCGGAAAUCGGUCGCAGAGUAUAAAGGCAAAAGCGCGCUUGACUGCGAGACAGACACGUCGAGCAGGUACGAAAGUAGGUCUUAGUGAUCCGGUGGUUCUGUAUGGAAGGGCCAUCGCUCAACGGAUAAAAGGUACUCCGGGGAUAACAGGCUGAUACCGCCCAAGAGUUCAUAUCGACGGCGGUGUUUGGCACCUCGAUGUCGGCUCAUCACAUCCUGGGGCUGAAGCCGGUCCCAAGGGUAUGGCUGUUCGCCAUUUAAAGUGGUACGCGAGCUGGGUUUAGAACGUCGUGAGACAGUUCGGUCCCUAUCUGCCGUGGACGUUUGAGAUUUGAGAGGGGCUGCUCCUAGUACGAGAGGACCGGAGUGGACGAACCUCUGGUGUUCCGGUUGUCACGCCAGUGGCAUUGCCGGGUAGCUAUGUUCGGAAAAGAUAACCGCUGAAAGCAUCUAAGCGGGAAACUUGCCUCAAGAUGAGAUCUCACUGGGAACUUGAUUCCCCUGAAGGGCCGUCGAAGACUACGACGUUGAUAGGCUGGGUGUGUAAGCGUUGUGAGGCGUUGAGCUAACCAGUACUAAUUGCCCGUGAGGCUUGACCA
rnacentral:rRNA from 1 species